CUGGGUUGAUGGUACUGGAGAAG
rnacentral:piRNA from 1 species